UUUUAUUUUUAAAACACACACUUAUCGUCACAGCUCCUUGGGUGCUUUUUAAGUUGGGACUGGGAUAAGUGGAGGCUUAAC
rnacentral:sRNA from 1 species